rnacentral:ncRNA from 1 species
UAACAGGAAAUUUAAGGGCGUAUGGUGGAUGCCUUGACUUUAAGAGGCGAUGAAGGACGUGGCGUUGCUGCGAUAAGCUUCGGGGAGGUGCUUAGCUACCUUUGAUCCGGAGAUUUCCAAAUGGGGAAACCCUAUGUGGUAAACCCACAUAAUUUUUAUCUUUAUGAUAAAAAAGCAUACCCUGGGAAGUGAAACAUCUCAGUACCAGGAGGAAUAGAGACAAAUAUGUAUUUCCUUAGUAGCGGCGAGCGAAAAGGAAGAAGCCCAAACCCCCACACCUACUUUGUUAUUGUUUUUUGUUCUGAUUUUAUUUUAUUUCGUAUAGUAAAUAUAAGUGAGAAUAUUAAAGUAAUGAAAGUAUUGUUUUGAAAAAACAGAACGAUAAUAAAGUAGGUGUGGGGGGGUUGUAAGAUGACAAUGUAGUUUACUAGAAGAGUCAAAAAAUAAAUUAUUAGUUGAAGUUGCUGGAAAGCGACACCGUAGGGGGUGAUAGUCCCGUAAACGAAAAUAAUUUAUCUCUUUUGUUGUUAUU